AGCUCUCAGAGUGGUGUGGAUGUUUAUUGGGCCUAAAGCAUCCGUAGCUGGCUAAGUUAGUCCCUUGUUAAAUCCACCGAAUUAAUCGUUGGAUUGCGGGGGAUACUGCUUGGCUAGGGGACGAGAGAGGCAGACGGUAUUUCCGGGGUAGGGGUGAAAUCCUAUAAUCCCGGGAAGACCACCAGUGGCGAAGGCUGUCUGCUAGAACGCGCCCGACGGUGAGGGAUGAAAGCUGGGGGAGCGAACC
rnacentral:rRNA from 1 species